CAGUGGGGAAUAUUGGACAAUGGGGGCAACCCUGAUCCAGCAAUGCCGCGUGAGUGAUGAAGGCCUUAGGGUUGUAAAGCUCUUUUACCGGGGACGAUGAUGACGGUACCCGGAGAAUAAGCCCCGGCUAACUUCGUGCCAGCAGCCGCGGUAAUACGAAGGGGGCGAGCGUUGUUCGGAAUUACUGGGCGUAAAGGGCGCGUAGGCGGCCGAGCAAGUUAGAUGUGAAAGUCCUGGGCUUAACCUGGGGACUGCAUUUGAUACUGCUUGGCUUGAAUUCGGGAGAGGAUAGCGGAAUUCCCAGUGUAGAGGUGAAAUUCGUAGAUAUUGGGAAGAACACCGGUGGCGAAGGCGGCUAUCUGGACCGACAUUGACGCUGAGGCGCGAAAGCGUGGGGAGCAAACAGGAUUAGA
rnacentral:rRNA from 1 species